GAUGAACGCUGGCGGCGUGCCUAAUACAUGCAAGUCGAGCGAAUGGAUUAAGAGCUUGCUCUUAUGAAGUUAGCGGCGGACGGGUGAGUAACACGUGGGUAACCUGCCCAUAAGACUGGGAUAACUCCGGGAAACCGGGGCUAAUACCGGAUAACAUUUUGAACCGCAUGGUUCGAUAUUGAAAGGCGGCUUCGGCUGUCACUUAUGGAUGGACCCGCGUCGCAUUAGCUAGUUGGUGAGGUAACGGCUCACCAAGGCAACGAUGCGUAGCCGACGUGAGAGGGUGAUCGGCCACACUGUGCCUGAGACACGGCCCAGACUCCUACGGGAGGAAGCAGUAGGGAAUCUUCCGCAAUGGACGAAAGUCUGACGUAGCAACGCCGCGUGAGUGAUGAAGGCUUUCGGGUCGUAAAACUCUGUUGUUAGGGAAGAACAAGUGCUAGUUGAAUAAGCUGGCACCUUGACGGUACCUAACCAGAAAGCCACGGCUAACUACGUGCCAGCAGCCGCGGUAA
rnacentral:rRNA from 1 species